rnacentral:rRNA from 1 species
AUAUCAAUAAGCGGAGGAAAAGAAACUAACAAGGAUUCCCCUAGUAGCGGCGAGUGAAGCGGGAAGAGCUCAAAUUUGAAAUCUGGCGUCCUUCGGGCGUCCGAGUUGUAAUCUAUAGAAGCGUUUUCCGCGCUGGACCGUGUCUAAGUCCCUUGGAACAGGGUAUCAAAGAGGGUGAUAAUCCCGUACUUGACACGACCACCAGUGCUCUGUGAUACGUUCUCUACGAGUCGAGUUGUUUGGGAAUGCAGCUCAAAAUGGGUGGUAAAUUCCAUCUAAAGCUAAAUAUUGGCGAGAGACCGAUAGCGAACAAGUACCGUGAGGGAAAGAUGAAAAGCACUUUGGAAAGAGAGUUAAACAGUACGUGAAAUUGUUGAAAGGGAAACGAUUGAAGUCAGUCGUGUUCAUUGGACUCAGCCAGUUCUUCUGGUCUAUUUCCUUUGAACGGGUCAACAUCAGUUUUGUCCGGUGGAUAAAGGUAUUAGGAAUGUGGCUCUUUCGGGAGUGUUAUAGCCUAGUAUUGCAUACACUGGGGGAGACUGAGGACUGCAGCUCGCCUUUUGGCCGGGGUUCGCCCACGUUCGAGCUUAGGAUG